ACGUCAAGUCAUCAUGCCCCUUAUGCCCAGGGCUGCACGCAUGCUACAAUGGCCGGUACAAUGGGCUGCGAACCCGCGAGGGGGAGCUAAUCCUCAAAGCCGGCCUCAGUUCGGAUUGGAGUCUGCAACUCGCCUACAUGAAGCCGGAAUCGCUAGUAAUCGCGGAUCAGCAUGCCGCGGUGAAUACGUUCCCGGGCCUU
rnacentral:rRNA from 1 species